rnacentral:rRNA from 1 species
AGUGAACGCUGGCGGUAGGCCUAACACAUGCAAGUCGAACGGCAGCACAGUAAGAGCUUGCUCUUACGGGUGGCGAGUGGCGGACGGGUGAGGAAUACAUCGGAAUCUACUUUUUCGUGGGGGAUAACGUAGGGAAACUUACGCUAAUACCGCAUACGACCUACGGGUGAAAGCAGGGGAUCUUCGGACCUUGCGCGAUUGAAUGAGCCGAUGUCGGAUUAGCUAGUUGGCGGGGUAAAGGCCCACCAAGGUGACGAUCCGUAGCUGGUCUGAGAGGAUGAUCAGCCACACUGGAACUGAGACACGGUCCAGACUCCUACGGGAGGCAGCAGUGGGGAAUACUGGACAAUGGGCGCAAGCCUGAUCCAGCCAUACCGCGUGGGUGAAGAAGGCCUUCGGGUUGUAAAGCCCUUUUGUUGGGAAUGAAAAGCAGCAGGUUAAUACCCCGCUGUUCUGACGGUACCCAAAGAAUGAGCACCGGCUAACUUCGUG